rnacentral:tRNA from 1 species
UGCCCCGUCGUCUAACGGUAAGACACCGGACUCUGACUCCGUUUAUCGAGGUUCGAAUCCUCGCGGGGCAUCCA